ACAAAUGACAGUUGAAGAAAAUCAUCAACAGACUCGAAUAAAUUCUUUAGGCCAUUCAAUUUGUGUCCUAUUGAUGAGGUUUCUGAUGUCCUCAACUUGCAUAACUGCUCUUCAAUGUUUACUCUUAGAGGAUGAGAUCUAGAAGGUAAGCUGAUUGAUCGGAGAUGACUAGCUGCCAUUUUUUUCCCUUCUAUUGAGGAAAGCCUAUAGAGAAUUUGAAUGUUGUAAUGGUCUUGGCUGUUGUUCAAACCAACACAUUGAACCUGUUAUAUAUGGAUGAGCAAUCGAUCAUAAGAAGAAUACCAUCUUCUUGAUCUACAUUAGCUGUCAUGUCCUGAGUUUUUGAGACAAUCUUGGCAACCUUUUGUCUGUGCAGUGCUGUUGGUGAGCUGUGAUUUAAAGAAUUGGGCGAUUAUUGGUUAAGUAUUGUUAUACAAACUACAAUUUCUGCGAGGUUCCAACAUCGAGAUCUCCAAGUAAUUAUAUAGCAUUGAUCUUGAAGACAAUGCAUGUAAUGACUCGAUUAAUAUAACCAAAUUAUUAAUUUAAAAUGGCAUUUGAUUGGGUUGUUAAUUUCCUGCUUUUGUUUGCAUGUGCAGAAGCCGAAGGACUGCAAUAAAAAUACUCAUCCACGAGCUGCAGCAUGCAGUUUCAUUAAUAAUUAAUGAGGCUUCUGAACAACUCUCGCUGCCAUGCGGUCCAGGGGUAAGUAGAAUCUUGACAGUCUUGGUUUCUUUUGAAUUCAGACACAGUCCAUGGAUGAUGGAGAUGUAUAAAUAGAAAUUAAAUUAAUAAUGCAACCACGCACAAAGGGGUUUAGCUUAGAUGAAUAAAAUGUUAUUAGAAUUUGGAAGACCAUAAGUGAAGCAUGAUCCACCUAUAUAUGGCCGGAUAUGCAGUUUCCCUGGUUUUUCAUUCAAAUGAAACUGAUGGAGAAGUAAUCAUAACUCCGCAGGCAAUGGUGUGAUUGGAUUAUUCAUGCUUGCUUGCCUUGUGAUAGAGACAUUAGAGUAGUUAUUCUCUGCCAUUUGGAGUUAGCAACCCAUUACAAAUUUCAUCACUAUUUUUUUUGUAGAAAACUUUUUAGUAUUGAAAAUCAGCUUUUUUCAUAAAAAAAAAACCAGUAAUUUAGAGAAACACUAUGAAUAUAAUUGAAGUGCUCAAUUAUAUGAGUAAAAAAGAAUGCAACAAAAGCCUAUAGUACAAUUCAAAAUAUGUACUACAAAUUCAAAAAUCAAAAUUAAUUAACAAUUCAAGGGCUCAAAUUAAAUUGGAAUGCAUGGUAUUAUCAUGGUUUUUUUAUUGCUCUUGUAGUCGAGAAUAAUGGAAACAGGUUUGUGACGGCUGUAUUAUAAUGGCAAUGGCCUAUCGCUAUUCAAAUUCUUUUGAAUAAUUUGCAAAGUUCAUGAUAUGAAGUUCAAUUCCUUGAGUGUGUUUGAGUCUGCAACUGGAUUUGGAUAUAUCAGUUGUUUGUUUCGCUGGAUCAACACUGACCAAAAGCAUCUGUACUUUUCUGUUUAUUUUUUUUUACUCUUUAUCUCUGGAUAUGAAAUCCCAUUAUCCUAGUUCAUCAUAUCCUGUUAAUUCUCGCAAUAAACUAUACACGUACAUUAAGUCAUGCGUACGUAACUACGUAUGUAGCUUGGAUAUGCUAUUAAUUGGGAAUGAUGUUUUGUAGCAAUUCAGUAGUGUUUACUCUAUUGAUAAUGAUUUUGUUAUGUUGAGAGGGGAGAGAAAGCAAAUUGAUGAAAAUAUUUUGCAAUCUUAGUAUUCUGGAUUGAACUUCAUUCUCUAUCUGUAUAUAUACAAAUAUAUCUACAAUUUGGUGUAUAACUCUAUGAUACAAAAUUGUGGUGAGCAGCUGAUGGAAGCAAUAGCUAAUGAUUCAGAAUGUUGAGAAGGGAAACUCUGGUUUUCACCAAUCGUCUAUAGACGCAUUCCAGAUCCUCUUCUGCCUCUUUAAUGCUCGACUCAAAUGCUUCCAAUUCUUUGAGAAGGUUUUGAAGUUGUGAAACUUUGAUGUCUUUGCUUGACUUCAGGAUAAGCAAUUCAGCGUCUAUCUUUUCAACUUCAUUGACUUCAAUUUCCACUUCACAUGAAACACGCUUGGACUGCAGCAAUUUUGGGAUUACAAACCAGCCCGAGGACGAUGAUUUUACCUUGGGCUGAGAAAUGAAAGAUAAGAUCGACUCAAACACCACAAGACUAAUUUCUUGAACUCCUCUUAGCAUGGUGAUCAUGUUCUCCAAAUUGGAGUUAUUGUCCAAGGUUGCUGUCGUGCAAUUUUUCUCCUUUUUCUUCAAAUUUCGUAAGCACUUGCAAAUUGCUUUGUUCAACUUCUUUCUAGAGACCAUGUAUGCAUCAACUUCUACUGUGAAGCUAGAGUCUGUGACUUUUCUUCUGCGUAGAGAUAGUUCAAGUUCUUGCAAACAUUCCUUCAUCUGUGAAAACAAAUCUCUUGUUGUAUCACAUAUAUCCAAUAGCUCCAGAGAUCCAUUCAUUGCAUUUUCUAUGGACUGGCUUUGCCUCUCAUUGGAGAUUGUCUGUUGGGCAAAUGACAGUUGAAGAAAAUCAUCAACAGACUCAAACAAAUUCUUCAGACCACUCAAUUUGUGUCCUAUUGAUGAGUAUUGUGAUGCCCUCAACUUGCCCAACUGCUCCUCAAUGUUUACUGCGAGAGGAUGAGAUCUAGAGGGUAAGCUGAUAGAUCGAAGAUGAAAAGCUGCCAUUUUCUCCCUUCUGCAGAUGAAAGCCUCUAAAGAAUUUGAAUGGACUGGUGGUCUUGGCUGUUGCUUAGACCAACACAUUGAAGCUGUUAUAUAUAUAGAUGAGCAAUAGAUCAUAAGAAGAACCACAUCUUAUUGAUCUACAUUAGCUGUCAUGUCCUGAGUUUUGAGACAGUUCUGAUAAUGUCUCGUCAAUGCGGUGUUUUGAGUGAGCAAUGUGAUUUAAAUAAAUUUGAUGGUUAUUGAUUUAAAAUAUUGUUUAUACAGAGUACCAUGUCUCCAUGGUUCCAACACACAGAUCUCAAGUAAUCAUAUAAAACUAAUCUUGAAUCCAUGCAUGUAAUGGUUCUAUUAAGAUAAUCAAAUUAAUAAUUUAAAAUCGGCAUUUGAUGGGGUUGGUCAAUUUCCUGCUUUUGCUUGCAUGUGCUGAAGCCUAAGGACUUGAAUAAAAAUAAUCACGCCCACGAGCUGCAGGAGCUCUUGAACAACUCUCCCUGCCAUGUGCUUGGCGUCCAGAACCAAGUAGAAACUUGACAGCCUUGGUUUCUUUUAAGAUGCAGUCCAUGGAGGAUAGAGAUUACAAAUAAAUUGUAAUUAAUAAAUAAUGGAACCAUGCACACAGGAGGUGCUAGGAAUUUGGUGGACCAAUCCUGCUAUAUAUGAAGUUUAGCUGAUUUUUAAUAUGAAACUAACUGAUAGAGAAGUAGGCAGAAUUUUGCGAGCAAUGGCUUGAUUGUAGGAAGCUCAACGUGGUUGAAUAUUACUUUGAUAUGAUAGGAAGAGCAAGAGGUGGGUUGUUCAAGCAUACUUAUCUGCUUUGUGCCAAAGAGAUUAGAAUAGCUAUUCUCUAUGAUAAUCUGCAUAUUAAACACUUAAAUUUUGAGUUUUAUUUUAUUUAAAAUAAGUGAAUUUAUUUGAGUUUUGAUAUUUUUGUAGGAUAAGUAAGGAUUAGAGAAUAAUAAGAGAAAGAUCGUAUUUGUGUUUGGAUUAUACAUUCUGAAAUUAAAAAGAGUGCCUUCUACGGUUGUUCAAGAAUUAGAGUUAGUUAACGAUCAUUUCUUAACUAGUUUAAAAACUAAGAAAGAAUUGGAUAUCUAAAAUGUUUUUUAUAUCUGUAACUGUUUUAUCAAUAAAUAAUUUGAAAUUAUCUUUGCAUCUGUCAUCAACUAAUAUAACUGAAACUAAAAUUGAUCAUUUGACUGAAUUCAUGUCAUGUUAAUUUUCUCUCUUAAAUUUAAUUGUUCUUCUUAUUUGGUUAAUUUAGUUUAUUUUCUCAUUGAAAUAAUUCUUAUUUCCUUGCAUUUAAAAUUUUUCAUUUUUAUUUUUAUUUUGCUUUUAUUUACUCAAUAAAAUUACUUUCUGAAGAAUUUUAGAAGAAAUUUUUUAUUUUAUUCCAAUUGAAUUGAUAUUUACAAGGAGGUAGGUUUGAGUAUUUAUAUACAAAGAAUCCAUUUAAAUUAGAAAUAUUUAUGAUAAAAAUAAAAUCAUAAUUAGAAUCCCAAAAAUUUGAAUCAAGCCUAAUUAGGAUCUCAAAUAUUUGAAUCCUUCUAAUUAGGAACCUUCUAUGAUGGUCAAUACUCCCCCUCAAGUUGGUGCAUAGAUAUUACACAUGCCCAACUUGUAAAGUAAGGUGUGGUAGGUCUUGUUACUAAGUCCUUUGGUAAACACAUCAAGUAGCUAUUCAUCGGAAGUCACAUGAUCUAAUCUCAAGACACCAUUUAUUAACUUCUCUUUAAUAAAGUGUCGAUCAAUCUUUAUGUAUUCCGUUCGGUCAUAUUGAACCGGAUUGUGAGCUAUACUUUGGCAGCUUUGUUGUCACAAUACAAGAGGAGUUUGUCCCUCUCUAAUAGUUUCAAUUCAUCCAACAAUCUCUACAACCAUAGGAGUUCACAGAUACAUUGUGCCAUCGCUCUAUAUUCCGCCUCACUUUUUGCUUCUCCAAGUGUUAAGGUUUCAUUCCACAAGUGUACAGUAAUCACUAGUCGACCUUUUAUCGUCAAGAGAUCCAACUCAAUCUACAUCUGUAAAUGCAUGUAUGCGAAGAUGACCAUAUUUAAAGAAUAUGAGACUUGUUCUAGAAGCAAACUUCAAGUAUCGCAAAAUGCGAAAAACAGCUUGCAUGUUAGACUUACGAAGAUCAUGCAUAAACUGAUUGACUAAGCUAACUGCAUAUGCUAUGUCUGGUCAAGUAUGAGAAAGAUAAAUCGGUCUGGUUACCAAUUUCUGAUAUCUGUCAAUAUCCACUGAUUCACCAAUCUCUGCUUGUAGCUUGUGAUUGCUCUCAAUGGGAGUUUCUGCUAGUUUGCAACCUAACAUACUAGUUUCUUCCAAAACAUUCAGAAUAUAUUUUCUCUGAAAAAUAAAGAUUUCCUUCUUUAACCUGACAACCUCGAUUCCCAGGAAAUAUUGCAAUUUUUCUAGAUCUUUAACUUCGAAUUCCUAAGCUAAAAGUUUUUUCAAUUGAGUCAUCUCUUCAAUGUCAUUCCCGUCAUUACUAUGUCAUCAACAUAAACUAUGAGAAGAGUAAUUUUACCUCUAUGUUGAUGACAUAGUAAUAACGGGGAUGACACUGAAGAGAUGACUCGGUUUAAAAAACUUUUAGCUCAGGAGUUUGAAAUUAAAGAUCUAGAAAAACCAAACUAUGGGUGACUGUUUCAAUCUAGACAAAGUUUUCUUUAGCUUGCACACCUUUUAUUGUGUUUUUUCAUCAGCAAAUUCAGGAGAAAUUUCCAUAUACAGUUCCUCCUCCAAGUCUCUAUGAAAGAAUGCAUUUUUCACAUCAAAUUGUUGUAGAUCCCAGUCAAGGUUGACAGCAUAAUAUAACAAUACUCUGAUUAAGUUCAUUUUAGCAGUAGGGACAAAUAUCUCCUGGUAAUACGCUCCAUAGGUUUGAGUGUAUCCCUUGGUAACUAGUCUAACCUUGAAUCUUUUAAUUGAUCUAUCUGCUUUGUGUUUCACAGUGAAAUCCCCUUUGCAGCCAACUGGUUUUUUUUCCAGGUGGAAGAGACAUCAACUCUCGGUUCUCAUUUUUAGCCAAGACUUUCAUUUUUUUAAUCAUUGCUCUCUUCUAAUUAGAAUCUUUGAGAGUUUCCUUCUAAUCCUGUGGGAUAGACACAGAGGAAAUAGACAAAACAAAAACUCUAUAGGAUAGAGAAACAUAAUCAUAAGAGAGAAGGUUAGAAAUAGAGUGCUUGUGCAAGAUCGAACUCCUUUUUUUUUGAACAAUUGGUUUAUUUAGAUCAUCAAUGGGCUCAAAGUUUAAGGAUUACUCAUCAGAUGGAGAAGAAGAAGAUUCAUAACAUUGAGUAGGCUACACAAUAGCUUUUUCUACUUCUAGUUUGUGUUUUCUUGAGUAUCUCCUUAAAUCUAGUUUAUCCAGACACCCAAUUUGAUCACCAAUAGUCUCUCCUGUAUAAUAAUCUUUCCCUGUGUACUAGUCUCCUCUAGACUAAAACGUUUAGUAAUAGUAAUGAUUAGAAAUUAAAAAGUCUACUGAUAAGAAAUUAAAAAGUCAUAUAUAAAUUGUAAUACUAAAGAUAAAAAAAUUUAUUUAUUAUGGAGAUAUUAAUUAGUAAUAUUAUUAAAUAUGAAAAUAUAACUUGAAAAUAAAAAUAAAAAUAAAAAUAAAAUAUAUUAAGUGUGCUACUUGGCACAAUAUACAAAUUUAAGAGAGCCACUUAGGUGUAAUUAUCUGAACCUAACUAUGUCAUUUGUCGAUCUUUUCAUAGCCUAUUUUAGAACUCAACUUUAUUUAUAUAGAUAGAUAGAUCGAUUUCUUAAGACAUUUGCAAAUUGCUUUCUUCAGCUUUUUUCUAGAAAUCAUGUAUGCAUCAACUUCGUCUCUCAAGCCACAGUCUCUGCCUUUUCUUCUACGAAGAGAUAAUUCAAGCUCCUGAACACAUUCUUUCAUCUGUGAGAAAAAGUCUCUUGUGGAAUCACACAAAUCCAACAGCUCCAGAGAUCCAUUCAAUACAUUUUCUACACACUGGCUUUGCCUCUCAUGACAGAGAGUCUGUUGGGCAUGUGGCAGUUGAAGCAAAUCAUCAACACACAAACAAAUUUUUUAGGCCACUCAAUUUGUGGCCUUUUGAUGAAGACUGCGAUGCCUUCAACUUGCAUAGCUGCUCCUCAAUCUUAGAAUAGGAGAAGAAAACAGAGGAGAGAAGUGAAGUAACAAGAGAGAAAAAAAUUUUUCAAAUAGCAUAUCAUUCAAGACUUGAUCAGCUUUCCAUUAUACAAAGUAAAGAUAUGGAAAAAUAAUUUUAUCAGUACAAAUUUUCAACUAACAGCUACCCAAUACAAAAGAAAACCACAAAAGUAGCUGCUGACUUUCUUGCUAUAAUCAAGUCCCUGUUCUACUAACUUUUUACUGACUAAAGUAAAAUUCAAGAAAUUAUAUUUCAGUUGAUUUCCAGAAAUUCAGGUCUUCAUGUUCAGAGGGAAACUCAACUACUGUCACUCAAUACUAACAGUUAGAGGAUGAGAUCUGGAUGGUAAACUGAUUGAACGAAGAUGACAAGCAGCUUUUUUUUUUUUUUUGGCUUCUUGAAGAAAACCUACCAAGAAUGUGAGUGUACAGGUGGUCUUGGUUGCUGUUUAACCCAAUCAAUUGAACAUCUUAUAUAUGCAAGAGCACCAGAAAUAGGAAUCCAUCUUCCUGACCUGCAUUAGCUGUCAUGUGCUGAGUUUUGCUACUGUCCCAGCAAUGUCUCAACAAUGUUAUGCUGUGAUUAAGGAAUAUGAUUAAAAAAAAUUAUUAUAAUAUCGUCACAACAAAUACCAUGUGCCUCAAGGUCCCAAGGCACUGUGAUAACCAUCAAAUUAUGUAGUAUUAAACUUGAAAGCGUGCAUAUGAUGAUUUUACUUAGAUAACAAUAAUAAUAAUUGUUUGACAUUGUGAUUGAUGAAGUUGUUUGGUGUUUGCAUGUGCAGAAUCUGACAAACUUCGGUAAAAUAUUAACAUCCAUGUGCAAGAUGCAGCUUCCUUUCUAGACAAACAAGAACCUGCACAUUGUUGUUGUUGUUUUCAUAUAUUUUCUGCAUGCCAAUGGAUGAUGAGACUCUCGAGCCUUAAGCAACUCUGGUUGUGAUGCCUGGUGUCUGUGAACAGGUAGAAUCUUGACAACAUCUGUUUUGCUUAAAUUAAGCACAUACCACGCAUGGUGUAGAUAAAUAAAUUAAUAACCCAAUCAUAGAGGAGAUGAUAAAGUCUGGUUGGCCAAAAGGGAAAGCAUGAUCCACCUAUAUUGCUGCAGAUCAAGUUUAGCUGUCCUUUUUCCUGAACCAAGUAAUGAGAGAAAGAUGCUGAACAUUUUUAAAAUGCACUCCAUCUUUUUUCUUUUAAUUAAAUAAAUGGCAAUGUUGUCCUCACUUUGAUAUGAUUAAAUAACAAGUCAAGUAUGGAUAAUAUAGUCAUUAAUUAAACAAAAAAAGAUAGAAUGAGGUGCAUUUAAGAAAUUUACAUCCAAUUUAUUAAACUAAAACUCCUAUAGAGAAAUUCCUAGGACUCUAAUGAUCAAGAAAUUCUAUUGGUUUAUAUUUGCAAUGCUUUGAUUGAAGUCUUGACUAUCAAGAAAAUCUGUUUACGCUUAUUAGCUUGUACGCUGAUUUACUCCAUCAACAGCAAAAAUAAUUAGUUUUAAACGAUCAAGAAAAGGCAAAUUGAUGUGACGUUUGCAAUCUUAACGUGUUCGUAUUAAAUUUCAUUCUCUAUCUGUACAUAUAUCAACAAUUUGCAGUAUAAUUUAUGAUACAAAAUUGUGUUGGGCAGUUGAUGGAAGCAAGGACACUAAUGAUUCAGAAUGUUGAGUAGGGAUACUCUGGUUUUCACCAAUCGCCUAUAGAUGCAUUCCAGCUCCUCUUCUGCCUCUUUCAUGCUUGACUCAAAUGCUUCCAAUUCUUUAAGAAGUUUUUGAAGUUGUGAAAGACUGAUGUCUUUGCUUGAUUUCAG
rnacentral:lncRNA from 1 species